GAUGAACGCUAGCGGCAGGCUUAAUACAUGCAAGUCGAGGGGCAUCAAGGUACACGAAAGUGUAUUGUUGGCGACCGGCGGACGGGUGAGUAAUAGGUAGGUAACCUACCUCAUACUGAGGCAUAGCUGGGAGAAAUUCCAGGUAAUUCCUCAUGAGGUUAUAUGACACAUGUGAUAUAAUCAAAGGUAUCGCAAGGUACUGGUAUGAGAUGGGCUUACUGACCAUUAGCUAGUUGGUGAGAUAAGAGCUCACCAAGGCGAAGAUGGUUAGGGGUUUUGAGAGAGAGAUCCCCCACAUUGGAACUGAGAGACGGUCCAGACUCCUACGGGAGGCAGCAGUAGGGAAUAUUGGGCAAUGGGCGAAAGCCUGACCCAGCCAUGCCGCGUGAAGGAAGACGGCCUUAUGGGUUGUAAACUUCUUUACUACGCGAAUAGAGGUUAGUACGAGAUACUAAUAGGAAGGUAGUGUAGUAAAAGCACCGGCUAACUCCGUGCC
rnacentral:rRNA from 1 species